AGAGUGAACGCUGGCGGCAGGCCUAACACAUGCAAGUCGAACGGCAGCACAGCAGUAGCAAUACUGUGGGUGGCGAGUGGCGGACGGGUGAGGAAUACAUCGGAAUCUACCUUGUCGUGGGGGAUAACGUAGGGAAACUUACGCUAAUACCGCAUACGAACUAUGGUUGAAAGCGGCGGACCGCAAGGCGUCGCGCGAUUGGAUGAGCCGAUGUCCGAUUAGCUAGUUGGCGGGGUAAAGCCCACCAAGGCGACGAUCGGUAGCUGGUCUGAGAGGAUGAUCAGCCACACUGGAACUGAGA
rnacentral:rRNA from 1 species